rnacentral:rRNA from 1 species
UCUCAUCACAUUUCCAAGCUAAACAAGCUUGGCCUGGGUCAGUUCAGGGUUGGGAGACCUCCAAGGAAAAGCUGGGGUGUUGGAAA